rnacentral:misc_RNA from 1 species
AAAGUCGUUGCAAGGUUUCCGCAAGUGUCGUUGUUCUUGCCAAUGUAUAGGGGGUAUGGAAGGUGAGCUCUUUAGUGGGCGGUGGAAAUAUCUAUCUAACUCUAUUCAUUCUUACAGUCAAAAAUGUGUAUUACUAUUUAGUUGAUCGUCGGAUUUACUGCCUAAGUAGUACCGGUAUACCGUACACUAAUUCGAUUUUAACCCCGUGAGUAACGCAUGCUAGUUUUUAUUAUUGCCUGAAAAACCCUCAUUAAAUACAACCUUUAACAAUGGAUCUCUAGGCUCCU